rnacentral:tRNA from 1 species
CGGGGUGUAGCACAGCCCGGCUAGUGCGCUUGGUUCGGGACCAAGAGGUCCCCGGUUCAAAUCCGGGCACCCCGA